rnacentral:rRNA from 1 species
CGCGUAGGCGGAUUGAUCAGUCAGGCGUGAAAUUCCUGGGCUUAACCUGGGGGCUGCGUUUGAGACGGUUGGUCUAGAGUGGGGAAGAGGGUCGUGGAAUUCCCAGUGUAGAGGUGAAAUUCGUAGAUAUUGGGAAGAACACCGGUGGCGAAGGCGGCGACCUGGUCCUUGACUGACGCUGAGGCGCGAAAGCGUGGGGAGCAAACA